CAGUACCUUAACCCUACUUUUUCAAGAUGGCUAAUUCCACUUUUACAAUUAUAAGUAAUCAUUGUUCUACCUUCUAAAAAUCUACUGCAAAGCCGGCAACUAAAUCGAGCUAUAAUUCCGUGCAGCAUUAUACUUAACACUUCAAAUUGCAAUACUACAGCUAAACCUUGGAACUAAUUUCAAGGAAAACCAGUAAGUAAGGGUAACUUGUAACAGAGAUAAAGGUUUGAAACAGGAACUGGAUAUCGACAAAGAGAAAAAAAAAAA